AUUGAACGCUGGCGGCAGGCUUAACACAUGCAAGUCGAGCGGAGCGAGGGUGCUUGCACCUUAGCUUAGCGGCGGACGGGUGAGUAAUGCUUAGGAAUCUGCCUAUUAGAGGGGGACAACAUUCCGAAAGGAAUGCUAAUACCGCAUACGCCCUACGGGGGAAAGCAGGGGAUCUUCGGACCUUGCGCUAAUAGAUGAGCCUAAGUCGGAUUAGCUAGUUGGUGGGGUAAAGGCCUUCCAAGGCGACGAUCUGUAGCGGGGCGGAGGGGAGGAUCCGCCAGACUGGGACCGUGACACGGCUCAGACUCCUACGGGAGGAAGCAGUGGGUAAUAUUGGACAAUGGGCGGAAGCCUGAUCCAGCCAUGCCGCGUGUGUGAAGAAGGCCUUUUGGUUGUAAAGCACUUUAAGCGAGGAGGAGGCUCUUAAGGUUAAUACCCUUGAUGAGUGGACGUUACUCGAAGAAUAAGCACCGGCUAACUCUGUGCCAGCCGCCGCCGUAAUAC
rnacentral:rRNA from 1 species